UUGGUGUAAAUACAAGGCCUCUUUAUUUUGUUUCCACAGUACAUGACUUCCCAUUUAGCAUGAUCAAAACCAAGCAGAACAGCAGAAAUCGCAUAAGCCAUCUUUAUCUAAUACAUUGCUCUUCUUUGAAACUACAUGAGUACAACAGGAAGGAUAAAUUCAACAUUAACUCCGGUUAGGCACUUUUCACAAACGAAAGAACCAGAGCCUGCACACAACAGGCAAGAAGCAGACAAAACCAAGGACGAGAAUCAGGAAAGCUUACUCCACUGAGAUGUCAACAUUCCUUUGGGGAAAGAAGGUUUGUCUUGAAGCAAGGGCUGAAAACUUCCCCAGCUAAGGAGUAUGUGCAUCCACUUUUUAAAAGCGUCAUCAGUAAAAGCUUUCUAAGGAAGAUACAACCCAGCUCUGAAGCCACAAAGCCAGAUAGCACACAGAGAUCAAAGACUUCUUUUGUCACUAAGAUUGGUCUGUUCUAGUGAAGGUUUGUAUCUAGGAAGCUUUUGUACCUAAAUGUGCCUAGGAGCAAUGGGCUAAGCAAAGCCUUUGGUGACUUAAGUGCAGAUAAGGUAAAACAUUGUUAUGUUUUUGUUAGCUGCUCACGGUUUGUGUCCUGGUCUUUUACGUCCUGAUCUUGGCUGGGUUUAAUUGUUAUGAGCUGACUUGAGUCAUUAAGCCAAAUCACUGAGUGAGCACAAAUAUUUUGAGUUGUUUCAGGCAGCCAGGUGUAAUAGGGCCUUUUAGCCCUAUCUUUCUCUCAACUCCACUCAUUCAGCAGUUACUUUCAACCUAAAACCAGGAGUAGGAGAAACCAUGGUCUAAAGCCAGAAUAAAAGUGAGUCCUGACCACUUUGAGGAGGAUGUGUGAGUCUAGACCUGACUAUUGCAUUUGCUUCUACAGAAGUGACUGCCCCUGCAGAAGCCACAGGGGACCUCUUUGGUUGGAGUACACUCUGAUUCAGGGCCUUUUCCAAGAAAGAAUUUCCACCAAAAUUUCCAGGAGACUGCACUCCAAAAACAUUGCUCAGCUUUUUGAGAAAAAAAAACCCUAACAGUGCCAUUAACUUUACACAACAGAUUGUUGUUGAUGGUGCUGAUGUCCUUUUGGCUUCCCAAGAAUUGUUGAUGUCGUUAUUGGGUUUUGUAUAGACAGCCAAUGUCACCUGCUGGCUUCACUGCUGAGAGAAGCACGAGCUGUUGCACAUACAGUGCCAGGGCUUAAAAAAGCUCCAACUUUAAGCCAAAGUACCUAGUACCUAGAAAUUUAUUAUCAGCUAUGUGCUAGUGUAAUUUAAAACCCUGUGCUCUCUGCAGUGCACUUAACUUCAAAACAGUCUGAUUUUUUAAGAUAGCUAGCUUAUUUUCAGUUACUGUAGUCACACCACACGCUUGUCUUCCAGUGUCCAACUCAGUCAUCACUGCUCCACCAGGCACGUGACAGAGGAGAUGUCUGAAGCAUGCAGGAGCACAGACUCUACCCCAGGACGAGGCUAGUUCAGUCUCUGAGCUGGCCAAUGCCAAAUGCUUCAUAGGAUAUUUGGAGAUAAAGCAUAACCUGCCCUUGCAUGAGGUUUCUUCUGGAGUUUUUACAAUUUUGAAGUAGAGGUUGAAAAGUGUGAUGUAAUUAUGUUAGGAUUAGCUACAAUUAUUUGGGCUUGUAUUAUUAAGCAUGUAAGUAACUACUUGGGAAAUGUGCUCAGUUGUUGGGCAUCAAUGGCUUUCAGAAGGAAUGAGGUCUGUGAUUUAACAGAACAUUGCCUGAAAAUGUAUCUUCUUUUCUGAGGACUUCCCACCUAAAACUUCACUGUCAUCUUGUUCCUGAGUUCUUCUGAUAUAGCUUCUUUCUGCUUUGCAUUAUUUUGUAUUCUGAUACCACCCUUUUAAAAUAUUUUUUAUUUUUUUUCCCCUUUCCAUGGUCCUGUCUCAAAUUUUCAAAAUCCCUUGGCUUUUCCUACCUUUUUUUUUUUUUAAAAAAAUACCUCUACUUGUACACUAUCAUUUGAGAUGAGUUGACCACUGCUACACACAGGCUGCAGAUAAGGCAGCACUGUUUAUUCAUAGAAAUCCAGUAUUUUAAAAGCUGUCCACCAUAUCAUCUGUUAUGGAUUGUUCCUGGAAAUGCUCAAACCAAUAUUUUUAAACAGCUUGUUUGAGUAAUGUUGUUAAUAUAUUUCAUUUUAAAACUGGGAUAUUCUUUGAAAGACAAUACACAAGUCUUCUUUUCAAGACUUGUGUAUUGUUUUUGAAUGUAUGAUCAGAAUACUUACAUUCUCCUUUGUGCAGUAAAACAGUAGAUAUUUAGCAAGAAUUACUACCUUUUUGCUAAUCCACAUUGCAUAAUCACAAUUAAAAUACAAAAGAAUCUAUUUCUCUGUAAAUAUUUUAAAAUUAAAACGUUACUUCAUGUGAGCUUUCAUUAAACCAUUAUAAUUUUUUCAUUCAUGACUAUAAUCAGGCACAGACUUUUACACAGGGUCAGUUUAACAUUUCUUUUUUUUAACAAUAAGUCCACUUACAAUACAAUAAUGAAAAUGUUCAGUCCAGUGAGCAAACACAUAUUUUUCCCCCUACAAAGCUUUCUGGUUGCACAAACCCCACAGAAUAAAUAUAACCCAAAUGUUGCUUUAGGUCAAGACAACAUUUUAAAGUGCAGAACUCCACUUGCCACACAUGAAUAAUUCAAAUAAUGCUGCAUAAUGCAUAGGCAAUACUUACUAGCAUUUCAUUAAUAAUCAAAACCUAAAGUGACACAAUGAGAUCAACCUGUAACAGUAAUUUAAAUACAUUCCAUUUAUAAUAAGUGCUCAUCUGAACAUAGAACACAGUAAGCAUAUUGUCCCAACACGCAAGCUUUCCACAAACUACCCUUUUCUUUGUCUGAAUGGAGUGCUAACUUUGAACACAAAAGACACAUUAAGAAACAAAGAUCAAUCCACAAGCUGGCAAUAGAACUAAUAGGGAGUGACAUUUGGAAACCGCUGUGUGUACAUUUUUCCAGAGGUUUUAUUUUCAGUCUGUAUCACUGUGUCAAUUUAUACUGACUGAAAAUUGUCCCUUUCUUUUCUUCCACUUACUCAUCUCUCCUCAGUGUUUGGUUGCUUAAUUUUAACUUUCUUUUUUUUUUUUUUUUUUUCCUCUUAAGAAGAGGAAGGAAGAGGGAAGGAGGAUGCUUUUAUUUGUCUUCAGCUACUAAGUUCUAUGACAAUAAAGAUGGAGGGAAAAUAGUCCCAAGUCCUCAGCUCCAUCUCC
rnacentral:lncRNA from 1 species